CUUGUCUGUGACUCUUUAAAGUCCAAACUAAAGAAAACAUCAGCAAGGACAGUUCCAGGCUGGGGAUUUGGGGGCCUAACAGAGCAGGACCACCUGAGGAGGUGUCUGAGGCCUGGUGAGUUUCCAAGUCCCCACUCCCUUUCCUCGUUCCCCAGUGACUUUCUGGAAACAGAACAAUCAUUAUCCAAACUCAACUCACAGUGGUCCACCAGGAGGAAAGUCUAUCAUCUGGAACACUUUAGUCUUUCUACAGCAGAGUGCAGGCAUGUCCUGGGGACCCAAGAAGAUGAGUAUCCAAAGAAGACAUUUUCAUUUGCUAGAAAACCCUGUGUCAUUUGAUCAGAAACCAUUUAGGGAUCUGAAUCUUUUUACUGUUUUCAUUUUUUUUUAAGGUACCAGGGAUUGAAUUCAGGGGCACUCGACCACUGAGCCCCAUCCUCAGCCCUAUUUUGUAGGGUCUCACGGAGUUGCUUAGAGCCUCACUUUUGCUGAGGCUGUCUUUAAACACGCGAUCCUCCUGCCUCAGCCUCCCCAGCAGCUGGGAUUACAGGUGUGCACCUGUACCUGGCUAAAUUGCCCUUGCCAACCUCUACAAAAUACUCUGAAUCAUAACAAUGAACUUAAAAUAAUUUUUGUUCUGCUUUUCACAAAUAGGAAAGUUGGAUCUAUAGCUGUUUUGAGACGUCUUGUGUGUGAACUCGAUGUUGCUGAGGGUGCAGGGUUGUUAAAAUUUUGAGAACAACUGCCAUCUACCUGGAGUCACCAAAGGAAAGGAGUGUCUACCAAACAAGGGUGGCACACAACACCAAACUGUAACUAGCUGGCGUGGCCAGUCUUUCCAGGUUAAUUUAUUUGUGUAAUUCAGCUGUUUGAUUUUCUGAGAAUCUCCUUUUCCACUGCAAAUAUCACUAUGAAAGGAUACGAUAUCUGGAAGUUUGGGGAAAAGUGGCAGAAUCCAAGUAGGGUGUCCCAUGGCUUUAAAACAGGAAAGGGAGCUAAAACUGUUUUUACCUACUUUGAAGUUUAUCUGAUGGUUUAUCAGCUCAGGCCAGCAUCUUUCCAAAAGAGAGAGCUUAAAGUUGAGACGAUUCCACUUAUUAGUGUAUGGUCUUUGAAAAAUCUCCAAAACGAUCUAAGUUUUACCACCAGGGAAACGGGGCUGUAAUACUACCUCAGUAUUUUUGUGAGGAUUAUGUGAAAUAAUGUAUAUAAAGUCACCAACAUGGUGCUUGGAACAUAGUAGGUGUUCAGUUAAAGGAACAUGGUGAUAAAGAUGAUUCUGUCUGCUCACAGCACAUCGCUAACCUGGGAAAAGCACUGAACUGUGUACAGAGCAGGGGAAACAGGGAGGAAGCAGAUGGCUGGGACAUUUCAAUGGCAGCUGGCUCUGUAUGUCACUACUUUCGUCCCAAGCUGGGAAUAGAGAGGCUUAAUAGAAGAAACUGCUUUGCUUUCUGUAGAGCUGAUGGGAUUCAGAGCCGAGAGGGAGGCCAGGGGAACCAUAAAUAGAGGAGAUGUCUAGUCCCCAGGUCUGUCCCUGGGAGCCUGUUUACUGAGCUCCAAGGAAACGGGUUUUAUUUGGCAAAUUAGGAUUUUAAAGUUCCUUGUAUCUGAAUGCUAAGCUUUCCUCCCUCCGACUGCUUUGUAAACUCGAAUACCUUGGCCUUGCAGAUAGAGAGCAGAGGCUGUGGCUUCUGGUCUGUGGGACGGUGAACUCGUCUGAUGUGAGAGAGGGAACGGUGGUGGGUGGUAGACGGCCACCGCACACUGGCUGUCCUCCCCUUGAAUUGGAUCGACAGCCGUGGAGCCACUGAGGGAGGAGCUGGGUCCCAGCUCAGAGGAGCUCUGAACAGAUGUGAGUUGGUCUCACUCUCUGUGGCAUCACGAGGUGAUAGGAUGGCCUCGAACUUGUGAUCCUCCUGAGCCGCAGGGAUUACAGGCGUGCACCACUGCAUGGGCUCAUGAUGUCAUUCUUCAGUGGUACCAUUCAUUUCAGAGGGGCAAGUGCUUGUAUACCCACAAAGAACCGGCUCAAUGGCUUGGUUUUCUGUCGUAUGGUUAGCAUCUUCAGAAAGAAAAUUCAUUUCGUUAAAUAAGUAUUGCAUGUUCACAAGAGGUGUGUAUGCAGUCAGUCACCCAAGGAGGACUAAGGACAGAGGGGGACCAGUGUGGAGCAGAGCUGCCAUGCUCAACACACUGCCACAGGGCCGGGAGCUUUCUCCAUUUUCUGCCAUUUACAUUUAGUUACAUUGUAGCUGCAGGCACCAUGAUCUCGCAAGCUCAAGGCAGUACUCUGUCAUCUGGGAUGUAACACCACACUUUGGGACUGCCAUGUCUCAGAGAGUGUCUGAAAAAGGGUCCCGAGGCCUCAGGUGCUAGAACGAAGUUGGAGCACAAGCCACCUCAUGUCCAUUCACCUGGGAAUGUCAUUUCAAAACCUACCUACAGACUCUUCUCCACUCCCAUCCAAACGCAGACGUCCUGGAUGACUGCUCUGAUCCUUAGAUUUUCCCAGACAUGUUAGAAAUCCCUUCGGGAUUAUCUAGUAUUGGGGUGUCCAUGCAUCUCCAGGGAGAGGCACAUCCCUAUCUCCUGGGAAUGGAAAUUCCCAUAAACACUCUGUAUACAGAGACCAGCAACUUUCUGGCCAACAACUCCCAUUCGGUUAAUCGAUUACUAUUGACGUCAGUGACACCCUCCAUCCUUCCCCCCAUUCGUGGUAAAGAAAAUGUAAAACCAAGUGAAUGUAAAGUUCUGCGUAGAAGGUUGAAGGCUGAAGGAACCCUGUAUUGUUCCUAUUAUCCCAGCAUCAUUACUAAUAGCAUCUCUGUCACCCCCAAAUUGUUGAAAUUUCAGUGAUAAAAUAUGUGAUGGCUAUCUUUAUGUAAAGAUGCUGCUGCUAUAACAAAGACCCCACCCCUGCCCUGCAAAGACAUGGGUUUAAAGAAUAUGGAGAUUCCUUCCUUUCUUAUGAAACAGUCCUGAGGUUAACCUUGUUUGAGGUUGCUCAAGUCUUCCCCACAGGAUCGUUGUUAUGGUUGGGAUGUGAGGUGUCCCCCAAAGGCUCACGUGUGAGACAGUGCAAGAAGGUCC
rnacentral:lncRNA from 1 species